rnacentral:lncRNA from 1 species
GAGACGCUGUCUGCGCCGGCGUGCGCGACACGGGAACGUCGUGCGCUCGCCCCGUAUGUCUACCAACCUAUGGCCCACGCAUGGAGGCUUUGUGAUAGUUACAGAAACCUUUACGACAUAAUAAAAAUAAUGUAACUGACCAAAUUGAGAUGGAAGAUGAGGGAGGAGGCAAAAGAGAGAGAAGCGAGGCCCAUUCUCCUCAUCUUCCAUGCGGGAAGGCAAGAAACAAUCUCUAAAGCUGUCAAGUGAAAAAAAAAAAUUCAAGCAUACCAUUUAAAGUCAUCAAGGUGCUCACUAAAUUCAAGCAUACCAUUUAAAGUCAUCAAGGUGCUCACCGGAAGAACCAAGUACGUAUAAUUAACAAAACCACCAGGAUAUGAGGUCAGUGCGUCUGGGUGGUGGUGAUCCUGGUGGCGGUGAGCGGUGACGGUGUGUUGGUGAAGCUGACGGUGACAGUGGUGAUGCUAAUGGUGGUGAUGAUGGUGGCCACGGUGGUGGUGGUAGUGGUGGUGGUGAUGGUGGUGACGACAGUGAGUGGUGAAGGUGAUGGUGAUGAUGGUGGUGACGACAGUGAGUGGUGAAGGUGAUGGUGAUGAUGGUGGUGACGACAGUGAGUGGUGAAGGUGGUGGUGAUGAUGGUGGUGACGACAGUGAGUGGUGAAGGUGGUGGUGAUGAUGGUGGUGACGACAGUGAGUGGUGAAGGUGGUGGUGAUGGUGGUGACGACAGUGAGUGGUGAAGGUGAUGGUGAUGAUGGUGGUGACGACAGUGAGUGGUGAAGGUGGUGGUGAUGAUGGUGGUGACGACAGUGAGUGGUGAAGGUGAUGGUGAUGAUGGUGGUGACGACAGUGAGUGGUGAAGGUGGUGGUGAUGAUGGUGGUGACGACAGUGAGUGGUGAAGGUGGUGGUGAUGAUGGUGGUGACGACAGUGAGUGGUGAAGGUGAUGGUGAUGAUGGUGGUGACGACAGUGAGUGGUGAAGGUGGUGGUGAUGAUGGUGGUGACGACAGUGAGUGGUGAAGGUGGUGGUGAUGAUGGUGGUGACGACAGUGAGUGGUGAAGGUGGUGGUGAUGAUGGUGGUGACGACAGUGAGUGGUGAAGGUGGUGGUGAUGAUGGUGAUGGUGAUGGUGGUGGUGAUGACAGUGAGUGGUGAGGGUCAUGGUGAUGGUGUGAUGGUGGUGGUGAUGGUGAUGGGGUGAUGGUGAUGAUGGUGGUGAUGAUGGUGGUGAGGGUCAUGGUGAUGGUGUGAUGGUGGUGAUGAUGGUGGUGAGGUCUGGGGACAGCCAGAGGUUCUUUUUGCAUUUCUGACCAGCUCCUGGUGGAGGGUGAUGCUGCUGGCCCCACGCACAACUUUGGGCAUCAAGAGUUGAGAGUGCCCCGUGCAAGGCCGGGCGCGGUGGCUCACGCCUGUAAUCCCAGCACUUUGGGAGGCCGAGGCGGGCGGAUCACGAGGUCAGUAGAUCGAGACCAUCCUGGCUAACAUGGUGAAACCCCGUCUCCACUAAAAAUAUUUUUUAAAAAAUUAGCCGGGCGUGGUGGCAGGCGCCUGUAGUCCCAGCUACUUGGGAGGCUGAGGCAGGAGAAUGGCGUGAACCCGGGAGGCGGAGCUUGCCGUGAGCCGAGAUCGUGCCACUGCACUCCAGCCCAGGAGACACAGCGAGAUGCCGUCUCAAAAAAGAGAGUGCCCCGCGCAGUGUCAUCAGCACAGUGACCGCAGCGAGCCCGGGCCUUUCUGUGGAGGCAGAAGAGCGCCCAGAACAGCACAAGGGACGCAUCUGUGGAGCGAGUAAUCCUCAAAAUGACCACAAGAUGGCAUCACCGCCCCAUGCUCCAAAUAAGGAAACUGAGGCCUGGAGCUGGUCCCAUAGUCCCUGCUGACCCAGCCACGAGUGGCAGAGUGGGGACCCUCACUCAGGCCUAUCAGAUCCCAAGGCCCCCACUCUGUUCCCUCCUGUUUCCCUACCCACUUUGGGAACGCCCUCUGGGCAGAGAACAGGGCUGGGAGCCUGUCAGCUCCUGGUCAGCUGACCUUGAUGUAGGCGAGAGGGACAGG